rnacentral:tRNA from 23 species
GCCGGGAUAGCUCAGUUGGUAGAGCAGAGGACUGAAAAUCCUC